rnacentral:rRNA from 1 species
AUUGAACGCUGGCGGCAGGCCUAACACAUGCAAGUCGAGCGGAUGAAGGGAGCUUGCUCCUGGAUUCAGCGGCGGACGGGUGAGUAAUGCCUGGGAAUCUGCCUGGUAGUGGGGGAUAACGUCCGGAAACGGGCGCUAAUACCGCAUACGUCCUGAGGGAGAAAGUGGGGGAUCUUCGGACCUCACGCUAUCAGAUGAGCCUAGGUCGGAUUGGCUAGUUGGUGGGGUAAAGGCCUACCAAGGCGACGAUCCGUAACUGGUCUGAGAGGAUGAUCAGUCACACUGGAACUGAGACACGGUCCAGACUCCUACGGGAGGCAGCAGUGGGGAAUAUUGGACAAUGGGCGAAAGCCUGAUCCAGCCAUGCCGCGUGUGUGAAGAAGGUCUUCGGAUUGUAAAGCACUUUAAGUUGGGAGGAAGGGCAGUAAGUUAAUACCUUGCUGUUUUGACGUUACCAACAGAAUAAGCACCGGCUAACUUCGUG